rnacentral:rRNA from 1 species
UACGGAGGGGGCUAGCGUUAUUCGGAAUUACUGGGCGUAAAGCGUUCGUAGGCGGCUUUGUAAGUCAGAGGUGAAAGCCCACGACUCAAUCGUGGAACUGCCUUUGAGACUGCUUCGCUUGAAGAUGGGAGAGGUUAGUGGAAUUCCGAGUGUAGAGGUGAAAUUCGUAGAUAUUCGGAAGAACACCAGUGGCGAAGGCGGCUAACUGGGCCAUUACUGACGCUGAUGGACGAAAGCUAGGGGAGCGAAAGGG